UGAGAGUAAUUGUAAUUGACAGGGUGGUAAGUGGCGUCACUGAACGUCAUGUGAAAAUUUUGUCAGCAUUGUGAUUUUACGUAUACCAUAUAUAAGUCCAUAUGUGAACUAGAUUUCGAAGAAUAUAUGACACGCUUGCACCAUAAGUUGACUUCUUUCUUCAAAAUCAGUUUUACAUGUAAUUGCUGUGUAUUUCAUCAACUUCGAUCAAAAUAAUUGAUUACCUUUUUUACACCUCUAUCUUAUUCCUAUCAUGCAAGUUAUACAUUUGUCAUAUAUGUAUAAUAAUUGUUUGUUUAAUGAUUUUAUAAUAUAUAUAUACAUGCUUAUAUUUAUUGAAACCUAUGGUGAUAUCUGAUACUGAAAUUUUCAAAACAUGGCAUAAUUUUGGUGAAUUUCUGUAUACUACUUCAUGUAAUUUCACCCGGUUAUUAUGAUAUAAUAAACAUGUACAGGGAC
rnacentral:sRNA from 1 species